rnacentral:rRNA from 1 species
AACGCGAAGAACCUUACCAACCCUUGACAUCGCAGGACCGCCGGAGAGAUUCGGUUUUCUCGUAAGAGACCUGUGGACAGGUGCUGCAUGGCUGUCGUCAGCUCGUGUCGUGAGAUGUUCGGUUAAGUCCGGCAACGAGCGCAACCCACGUCUUUAGUUGCCAGCAUUCAGUUGGGCACUCUAAAGAAACUGCCGAUGAUAAGUCGGAGGAAGGUGUGGAUGACGUCAAGUCCUCAUGGCCCUUACGGGUUGGGCUACACACGUGCUACAAUGGUGGUGACAGUGGGUUAAUCCCCAAAAGCCAUCUCAGUUCGGAUUGGGGUCUGCAACUCGACCCCAUGAAGUUGGAAUCGCUAGUAAUCGCGGAACAGCAUGCCGCGGUGAAUACGUUCCCGGGUCUUGUACACACCG